GAUGGAGUGAUGGAGUGCAGGGGCGUGACCUCAGCUCACUGCAACCUUCACCUCCCAGGUUCAAGUGAUUCUCCUGCCUCUGCCUCCCGAAUAGCUGGGAUUACAGGUAUGCACUACUACACUGGGCUAAGUUUUGUAUUUUCAGUAGAGAUGGGGUUUCACCACUUGGCCAGGCUGGUCUCGAACUUCUGACCUCAAGCAAUCCUCCCGCCUUAGGCUCCCAAAGUGGUGGGAUUACAGGCCUGAACCACAGGGCCCAGCCUUGGCUUGUGGUUCUUUUACUAAAUAUGGAAUAGCGAUAAAGCUUAUGUAUCAUAUUUGUAAAAGAAAGCUAGGCACAUGAAGCAGAAUUAAUUCAUGAGGGAAAAUAUUUAUUUUACUCUCAAGUCUCCCGAAAGUUAUUGUAUUCAUUUAAACUCAAUUUCUAAUUUUUUUAGUUACCCAAAUACUAUUGCAUUAAAUGCAUUAAAGAGAGCAUUGUACCUAGCAGAUAUGUGAGAAACAGUUUGACUUUUUAACCACUAAAAAAUGUCCAAAUAUCAGAAUUUAUUUUAUUUUAAAUUUCAAAAAAAUCCUUAUUUUAUAUGAUAAAAAUCAAGUUGAUUUGUAAGUCAUAUAUAUCAGCUUAUUAUCAAGAACUAUUGCUAUGUAAAAGAACUUAGGACUGUGUAAUUAGAACUAUGUAAUAGAAAUAUUUACAGAAGACUAUAUCUGCCAACAUGAGAUACUCUACCACCAUAACUUAUAUCAAUGACUCUUGUUCUAUCAUCGUGUGCAUUAUAAAUAGUGCAAAAUUUCAAGAAAUUUCCAUUUUGAGAUAUAAGAAAUCAAUAUGCUGGGAAAACUAAUAUCAAACUCUGAAGUAGAUAUAUUUCAUUUUAUAUAUAUUUUAAAUGACCUUUAACUAAAGGUUAAAUUGGAUUGACACACUGAAGAUAAAUUUUUUUAUUAUUAUCAUCAUUAAAUUAUUAUUUUGUGACUAUUACUAUUCAACUAACACUACAUCUGAUAAUAUAAUGAUAAACACAUUCCUUUUUUAUAUUAACUAGCAUUUUUUUCGAGUUUCUUAAAGCUUUGUUUGCAACUCUGGAUGAUUUAUGUGGGACAUGAUAAAACCAAUCUCCACACAGGCUAAUUUGAGACCUGGCAUCAUUGUCUCUCUCUGAACAAUCUGGAAGCUUUUUUAUGGUAGUGAAUUGCUCAUUUGGGGUGCGAGGAUUGAAGCAGGCAAGUGUCUGGGUCAUUAUGUGCUCAGCCAUGUCUUACAUAGGUGUUUGGAUUUGUAUAGCACUGGUUAAUCUGUAAUGUGUUUUAAUUUAGAGACAUAAAUUCUGGCCAGAAUUCUAUGCUUUAAUUAAAUAGUGUCAAGGGAUUGAUCGCAGCAUAUUGAUCCAUAACUGAACAUUUUAUCCAUGAAGUCACAGGUCCAGUGAGUCAUCAUUGCCUAGAAUACCCUACUUCAAACAAUGAAACUCACUUUCAAUCUAUCAUCAUCUUUCACUCUUCAGUGAAACCCCAUGUAGCUUCCAGAUGUGGUUUCAGGAUUUCUCUAUAUUGUUGGAGAGCAUUUAGGGCUCAAGAGAAAUCAUUGCUGCUUUAGCGCCUGGAGAAGAGCUACAGCUCAGGUGUUCAAUAGAAGAGAUGCACACAGGCAUCUAUGUUGUCAGCAAGCUAGCACUAUCAAAGCAUCUGGAGACAACAAUAGGAGUCAAGGAUACCAUCUCUAGCACAGAUCCCCGCACAGAACAAGAACCUGAGACCUGCCGAACAGCAGGUGCCAAAGAUGCUGCUGUAACACCACAGCCCUCCCAUCUUCCAUCCUCCACUGGCGCUGAGUGGCAGUCCCAUGUGACAGGAAGUGGAGGCAGAGCUGGGCCAGCCCAGGAGCCACGUGCUGGAGCCAGAUACUCUGUUUUUCUACAAAUGGAAAGUUUGUGGCAUCCUUGACUCAAGCAAAUUUUUCAGCACCAUUUUUCAAGAGCGUGUGCUCACUUCACCUCUCUGUAUCGUGUUUUGAUGCUUGUCCUGGAAACCAACCAUGAGCUGUGAUGAAAUCCAGGCAACUGAGUUGUGUUUCAGCCCAAAGCAGCAAAUGGAAUCCAGCUUCAGGACCAUCAUCUGACAUAGGGGAAGAAGACUUACAUAGAAGGCCUAACCAGCACCCAAGAUCAUGCUCAUAGGUGGAGGAGACUUGCUUUGUCUCAGAUGAGACUUUGGACUGUGGACUUUUGAGUUAAUGCUGAAAUGAGUUGAGACUUUGGGGAACUGUUGGGAAGGCAUGAUUGGUUUUAAAUAUGAAUAUAUGAGAUUUGGGAGGGGGUCAGGGGUGGAAUGAUAUGGUUUGGCUCUGUGUCCCCACCCAAAUCUCAUCUUGUAGCUCCCAUAAUCCUCCCAUGUUGUGGGAGGGACCCAGUGGGAGAUGAUUGAAUCAUGAGGGCGGGUCUUUCUCAUGCUGUUCAUGAUCCCAUUCAUGUGAGAAAGACCCAUGUGAUCAUGAAUGGGUCUCACAAGAUCUGAUGGUGUUAAAAAUGGGAGUUUCUCUGCACAAGCUCUCUGCCUGCUGCCAUUCACAAAGGAUGUGACUUGCUUCUCCUUGCCUUCUGCUAUGAUUGUGAGGCCUCCCUAGCCAUGUGGAACUGUGAGUCCAAUUAAACCUCUUUCUUUUGUAAAUU
rnacentral:lncRNA from 1 species